UACGUAGGGUGCAAGCGUUAAUCGGAAUUACUGGGCGUAAAGCGUGCGCAGGCGGUUUUGUAAGUCUGUCGUGGAAAUCCCCGGGCUCAACCUGGGAAUUGCGAUGGAGACUGCAAGGCUAGAAUCUGGCAGAGGGGUAGAAUUCCACGUGUAGCAGUGAAAUGCGUAGAGAUGUGGAGGAACACCGAUGGCGAAGGCAGGUCUCUGGGUUGACACUGACGCGUCU
rnacentral:rRNA from 1 species